GAUGAACGCUAGCUACAGGCUUAACACAUGCAAGUCGAGGGGCAGCAUCAUCAAAGCUUGCUUUGAUGGAUGGCGACCGGCGCACGGGUGAGUAACACGUAUCCAACCUGCCGACAACACUGGGAUAGCCUUUCGAAAGAAAGAUUAAUACCGGAUGGCAUAGUUUUCCCGCAUGGUAGAACUAUUAAAGAAUUUCGGUCAUCGAUGGGGAUGCGUUCCAUUAGGUUGUUGGCGGGGUAACGGCCCACCAAGCCUUCGAUGGAUAGGGGUUCUGAGAGGAAGGUCCCCCACAUUGGAACUGAGACACGGUCCAAACUCCUACGGGAGGCAGCAGUGAGGAAUAUUGGUCAAUGGUCGGCAGACUGAACCAGCCAAGUCGCGUGAGGGAAGACGGCCCCUACGGGGUUGUAAACCUCUUUUGUCGGAGAGUAAAGUGCGCUACGCGUAGCGUAUUGCAAGUAUCCGAAGAAAAAGCAAUCGGCUAACGUCCGUG
rnacentral:rRNA from 1 species